rnacentral:rRNA from 1 species
UACGUAGGGUGCGAGCGUUGUCCGGAAUUACUGGGCGUAAAGAGCUCGUAGGUGGUUUGUCGCGUUGUCCGUGAAAACUCACAGCUUAACUGUGGGCGUGCGGGCGAUACGGGCAGACUGGAGUACUGCAGGGGAGACUGGAAUUCCUGGUGUAGCGGUGGAAUGCGCAGAUAUCGGGAGGAAUACCAGUGGCGAAGGCGGCUUCUUGGCCUGUUCUUGGACGCUGAGGCGCGAAA